UCCACCCCGAGACUCUCCUCCACCCCGAGACUCUCCUCCACCCGCCGCUCUCCUCCACCCGCAGACAUGUCUCCCAGGGUCGCCGUGGUUACCGGCAGCAACAAGGGCAUCGGUCUGGCCAUCGUCCGAGCGCUGUGUUCCCAGUUCCAGGGAGACGUCUUCCUGACGUCCAGAGACGAAGGCCGAGGUCAGAGAGUGAGGAGGAGGAUCUGAUGGUUCAGCAGA